rnacentral:lncRNA from 1 species
GAUGACAAAGAAAGGAGGGAAAACUGAUGGGACAAUGUUUUAUGUUAGGUAGUCAGGAUGGAGAACAUAGGUGAAGAAAUUAACUUUUCAGAAAGGGAGGAACAGGUUUUCUCUGGGACAAGAGAUGAUGAACAAAUACUAAAUUAAUUUAGGAUGGAAAGAAUAGUGGAAAGGGAGACCAUUUGAGAAGCCUUCAGUAAAACAGGAAAUAAGCUUGUAUGUAAUAAUGAAGGAAAGAACUAGUAAAGGUUGGGAGCUUGAAAUUCAAGACCUGUCCUCAAGUUUUCUUGUUGUUCAUUGUUCCUUUUCAAGGAGGACCAAUGACUUCGUGGGUGUGAGUUGAAUUUAAGUAAGGCAGAGAUGUGCCUAACUCAUAAUUUGCUUCACUUUCCCUUCCAGAGUCAUCAAAGUCUAGUGGAAAGACAAAAGUCAAGAUGACUGAGGCUAGCCCAGGAAACAAUAGAUGAUCUUGUUAUUUCAAAGCACCUUCUUCAGCUGUCUUCAUGAUUAAUGGAACAAAUUGUUUUCAUUUGCUUAUUCCACCAGAGGAAGUCUUCACAUGCUUGAGGGGAUGGCGGUGUGACCACAGCAACAGAGUAAAAAUAGGAGCAAAGCAGGGAACUUGGGACUUCCUGAUUGAGGGAGCCCAUUUCCGAAAGGACCUUGGACAGAGCACAGCGCUUCUAUGCUCCUUUUGGAAGACCCACCAAUCCUCACCUCCUGCAAUGAGCUCAUUCUUAAAGAGGAGGCAGCCUGCUUGGAAAAGAAGGCAGUCUUGUCAUGCUCAGAAUGACCUGCGCUACACCACACAGUGUCUGCUCCUGCAUAAUUUCUAUAGAAGUGAGAAAGAACAGCAGCAAAACAAUCAAGAUUGUGAAAUUAUAAAAAGACAAGCUUGGCUCCAGAGAAGAGAUAUGAGAAAGCACAUCAGAUUGCUUCUAUAAAAAGGGUUGAAGGACUACCUACUCCUUCUUCAAAACGUUUAUCAUCUUCUCCAUGAAGUCUUCUUUGCUUGACUUAGCCGUUGGUGAACUUUCCAUCCUUUAAGGUCUGUAGCACUUUUUUAUGAAUUAUUUGGCAUUUUACAUAUGUUAUCUUGUUUCAUUGCUUAUAUUCUAAUGGUAUUGUCCUUUUUCAUUAGCUAGGUUAUAAGCCCCAGUAUGUUAAGGUCUUUGUUUUAUAAAUUAACAAAUAUAUUAAUUUUUAAUUAAUAUUUUAAGUUAAAUUAAUUUUAAAUAACUAAGAAAAAGCAAAACAUUUAUUGAACACUUACUAUGUGUGAAACAAUAUGCUAAAUGCUGGAGGUAAAUAUAGGAAUGUCAGAGACAUCCUGCUUUUAAG